AACGAACGCUGGCGGCAUGCCUAACACAUGCAAGUCGAACGAGACCUUCGGGUCUAGUGGCGCACGGGUGCGUAACGCGUGGGAACCUGCCCUUAGGUUCGGAAUAACUCCCCGAAAGGGGUGCUAAUACCGGAUAAUGUCUUCGGACCAAAGAUUUAUCGCCUUUGGAUGGGCCCGCGUUGGAUUAGCUAGUUGGUAGGGUAAAAGCCUACCAAGGCGACGAUCCAUAGCUGGUCUGAGAGGAUGAUCAGCCACACUGGGACUGAGACACGGCCCAGACUCCGACGGGAGGCAGCAGUGGGGAAUAUUGGACAAUGGGCGAAAGCCUGAUCCAGCAAUGCCGCGUGAGUGAUGAAGGCCUUAGGGUGGUAAAGCUCUUUUACCCGGGAUGAUAAUGACAGGACCGGGAGAAUAAGCGCCGGCUAACUCCGU
rnacentral:rRNA from 1 species